UACGUAGGGCGCAAGCGUUGUCCGGAAUCAUUGGGCGUAAAGAGCGCGUAGGCGGCUAGAUAAGUCCGGUGUGAAAGUCACAGGCUCAACCUGUGAAUGCCGCUGGAAACUGUCUGGCUAGAGUCCGGAAGGGGCGAGUGGAAUUCCUGGUGUAGCGGUGAAAUGCGCAGAUAUCAGGAGGAACACCAAUGGCGAAGGCAGCUCGCUGGGACGGUACUGACGCUGAGGCGCGAAAGCGUGGGGAUCAAACAGG
rnacentral:rRNA from 1 species